ACGCUCGACACCUACGGGGGCAGCAGUGGGGAAUAUUGCACAAUGGGGGAAACCCUGAUGCAGCAACGCCGCGUGAAGGAAGACGGUUUUCGGAUUGUAAACUUCUGUUCUUAGUGAAGAUAGUGACGGUAGCUAAGGAGCAAGCCACGGCUAACUACGUGCCAACAGCCGCCGGUAAGUCUGAGCGGGCGUGGCGAAGGACG
rnacentral:rRNA from 1 species